ACUCCUACGGGAGGCAGCAGUGGGGAAUUUUGGACAAUGGGCGAAAGCCUGAUCCAGCAAUGCCGCGUGUGAGAAGGCCUUCGGGUUGUAAAGCACUUUUGUCCGGAAAGAAAUCCUUGGCUCUAAUACAGCCGGGGGAUGACGGUACCGGAAGAAUAAGCACCGGCUAACUACGUGCCAGCAGCCGCGGUAAUACGUAGGGUGCAAGCGUUAAUCGGAAUUACUGGGCGUAAAGCGUGCGCAGGCGGUUUGCUAAGACCGAUGUGAAAUCCCCGGGCUCAACCUGGGAACUGCAUUGGUGACUGGCAGGCUAGAGUAUGGCAGAGGGGGUAGAAUUCCACGUGUAGCAGUGAAAUGCUAGAGAUGUGGAGGAAUACCGAUGGCGAAGGCAGCCCCCUGGGCCAAUACUGACGCUCAUGCACGAAAGCGU
rnacentral:rRNA from 1 species